rnacentral:tRNA from 2 species
GGCUCCGUAGCUCAGCUGGAUAGAGCAAGGGUUUCCUAAACCAGAGGUCGGGGGUUCAAGUCCCUCCGGGGCCACCA